UGGAGUCUAGCCAAGGUGGUAAGGCGCCCGUUUUUGGUGCGGGGAUCGGAGGUUCGAGUCCUUUGACUCCAU
rnacentral:tRNA from 1 species